UACGGAGGGUGCAAGCGUUAUCCGGAUUCACUGGGUUUAAAGGGUGCGUAGGAGGGCAGGUAAGUCAGUGGUGAAAUCCCCGAGCUUAACUUGGGAACUGCCGUUGAUACUAUCUGUCUUGAAUACCGUGGAGGUGAGCGGAAUAUGUCAUGUAGCGGUGAAAUGCUUAGAUAUGACAUAGAACACCAAUUGCGAAGGCAGCUCGCUACACAAAUAUUGACUCUGAGGCACGAAAGCGUGGGGAUCAAACAGG
rnacentral:rRNA from 1 species